rnacentral:rRNA from 1 species
CCUAACACAUGCAAGUCGAACGGUAACAGGAAGAAGCUUGCUUCUUUGCUGACGAGUGGCGGACGGGUGAGUAAUGUCUGGGAAACUGCCUGAUGGAGGGGGAUAACUACUGGAAACGGUAGCUAAUACCGCAUAACGUCGCAAGACCAAAGAGGGGGACCUUCGGGCCUCUUGCCGUCAGAGGUGCCCAGAUGGGAUUAGCUAGUAGGUGGGGUAACGGCUCACCUAGGCGACGAUCCCUAGCUGGUCUGAGAGGAUGACCAGCCACACUGGAACUGAGACACGGUCCAGACUCCUACGGGAGGCAGCAGUGGGGAAUAUUGCACAAUGGGCGCAAGCCUGAUGCAGCCAUGCCGCGUGUAUGAAGAAGGCCUUCGGGUUGUAAAGUACUUUCAGCGGGGAGGAAGGGAGUAAAGUUAAUACCUUUGCUCAUUGACGUUACCCGCAGAAGAAGCACCGGCUAACUCCGUGCCAGCAGCCGCGGUAAUACGGAGGGUGCAAGCGUUAAUCGGAAUUACUGGGCGUAAAG